AGAGUUUGAUCCUGGCUCAGGAUGAACGCUAGCGGCAGGCUUAACACAUGCAAGUCGAGGGGUAACAGGGGUAGCAAUACCUGCUGACGACCGGCGCACGGGUGCGUAACGCGUAUGCAAUCUACCUUAUACAUGGGGAUAGCCACGGGAAACUGUGAUUAAUACCUGAUAUUACCUUUUUAUGGCAUCAUAUUAAGGUGAAAGCUCCGGCGGUAUAAGAUGAGCAUGCGUGACAUUAGUUAGUUGGUGAGGUAACGGCUCACCAAGGCUAUGAUGUCUACGGGGUCUAAAAGGAUGAUCCCGCACACUGGUACUGAGACACGGACCAGACUCCUACGGGAGGCAGCAGUGAGGAAUAUUGGUCAAUGGGGGCAACCCUGAACCAGCCAUGCCGCGUGCAGGAAUACUGCCUUACAGGUUGUAAACUGCUUUUAUAUGGGAAGAAUAAGUGAUACUUGUAUUACGAUGCCGGUACCAUAUGAAUAAGCAUCGGCUAACUCCGUGCCAGCAGCCGCGGUAAUACGGAGGAUGCAAGCGUUAUCCGGAUUUAUUAGGUUUAAAGGGUGCGUAGGCUGGCCUUUAAGUCAGGGGUGAAAUCCUACAGCUCAACUGUAGCACUGCCUUUGAUACUGGGGGUCUUGAAUUAAGAUGAGGUAUGCGGAAUGUGUAAUGUAGCGGUGAAAUGCAUAGAUAUUACACAGAACACCGAUUGCGAAGGCAGCAUACUGGCCUUAUAUUGACGCUGAUGCACGAAAGCGUGGGUAUCGAACAGGAUUAGAUACCCUGGUAGUCCACGCUGUAAACGAUGUUCACUGGCUGUUUGCGAUACACCGUAAGCGGCUGAGCGAAAGCAUUAAGUGAACCACCUGGGGAGUACGUUCGCAAGAAUGAAACUCAAAGGAAUUGACGGGGCCCGCACAAGCGGAGGAACAUGUGGUUUAAUUCGAUGAUACGCGAGGAACCUUACCUGGGCUUAAAUUGGCAUUGAAUGAUGUAGAAAUAUAUCAGACCCGCAAGGGACAGUGUUGAAGGUGCUGCAUGGUUGUCGUCAGCUCGUGCCGUGAGGUGUCGGGUUAAGUCCCAUAACGAGCGCAACCCCUAUUAUUAGUUGCCAACGCGUAAAGGCGGGGACUCUAAUAACACUGCCACCGUAAGGUGUGAGGAAGGUGGGGAUGACGUCAAAUCAGCACGGCCCUUACGUCCAGGGCUACACACGUGUUACAAUGGCCGGUACAAAGGGCAGCUACCUGGUGACAGGAUGCUAAUCUCAAAAACCGGUCUCAGUUCGGAUUGUAGUCUGCAACCCGACUACAUGAAGUUGGAUUCGCUAGUAAUCGUAUAUCAGCAAUGAUACGGUGAAUACGUUCCCGGGCCUUGUACACACCGCCCGUCAAGCCAUGGGAGCCGGGGGUACCUGAAGUCCGUAACCGCAAGGAUCGGCCUAGGGUAAAACUGGUGACUGGGGCUAAGUCGGAACAAGGUA
rnacentral:rRNA from 1 species